rnacentral:rRNA from 1 species
UACAGAGGGUGCAAGCGUUGCUCGGAAUCAUUGGGCGUAAAGGGUAGGUAGGUGGUCUCAUUUGUCUGGGGUGAAAGCCCAGGGCUUAACCCUGGAAGUGCCCCGGAAACGGUGAGACUGGAGUACUGGAGAGGGUUGUGGAAUUCCCGGUGUAGCGGUGAAAUGCGUAGAGAUCGGGAGGAACACCGGUGGCGAAGGCGGUUCUCUGGGCCUUACCUGACGCUGAGGAGCGAAAGCGUGGGGAGCGAACAGG